UGAGGAAUAUUGGUCAAUGGACGCAAGUCUGAACCAGCCAAGUAGCGUGCAGGAUGACGGCCCUAUGGGUUGUAAACUGCUUUUAUGUGGGGAUAAAGUGCGUGACGUGUCAUGCAUUGCAGGUACCACAUGAAUAAGGACCGGCUAAUUCCGUGCCAGCAGCCGCGGUAAUACGGAAGGUCCGGGCUUUAUCCGGAUUUAUUGGGUUUAAAGGGAGCGUAGGCUGUCUAUUAAGCGUGUUGUGAAAUUUACCGGCUCAACCGGUGGCUUGCAGCGCGAACUGGUCGACUUGAGUAUGCAGGAAGUAGGCGGAAUUCAUGGUGUAGCGGUGAAAUGCUUAGAUAUCAUGACGAACUCCGAUUGCGCAGGCAGCUUACUGUAGCAUAACUGACGCUGAUGCUCGAAAGUGCGGGUAUCAAACAGG
rnacentral:rRNA from 1 species